GACGAACGCUGGCGGCGUGCCUAAUACAUGCAAGUAGAACGCUGAAGAGAGGGGCUUGCUCUUCUUGGAUGAGUUGCGAACGGGUGAGUAACGCGUAGGUAACCUGCCUUGUAGCGGGGGAUAACUAUUGGAAACGAUAGCUAAUACCGCAUAACAAUGGAUGACACAUGUCAUUUAUUUGAAAGGGGCAAUUGCUCCACUACAAGAUGGACCUGCGUUGUAUUAGCUAGUAGGUGAGGUAACGGCUCACCCAGGCGACGAUACAUAGCCGACCUGAGAGGGUGAUCGGCCACACUGGGACUGAGACACGGCCCAGACUCCUACGGGAGGCAGCAGUAGGGAAUCUUCGGCAAUGGGGGCAACCCUGACCGAGCAACGCCGCGUGAGUGAAGAAGGUUUUCGGAUCGUAAAGCUCUGUUGUAAGUCAAGAACGAGUGUGAGAGUGGAAAGUUCACACUGUGACGGUAGCUUACCAGAAAGGGACGGCUAACUACGUGCCAGCAGCCGCGGUAAUACGUAGGUCCCGAGCGUUGUCCGGAUUUAUUGGGCGUAAAGCGAGCGCAGGCGGUUUGAUAAGUCUGAAGUUAAAGGCUGUGGCUCAACCAUAGUUCGCUUUGGAAACUGUCAAACUUGAGUGCAGAAGGGGAGAGUGGAAUUCCAUGUGUAGCGGUGAAAUGCGUAGAUAUAUGGAGGAACACCGGUGGCGAAAGCGGCUCUCUGGUCUGUAACUGACGCUGAGGCUCGAAAGCGUGGGGAGCGAACAGGAUUAGAUACCCUGGUAGUCCACGCCGUAAGCGAUGAGUGCUAGGUGUUGGAUCCUUUCCGGGAUUCAGUGCCGCAGCUAACGCAUUAAGCACUCCGCCU
rnacentral:rRNA from 1 species